UGGAAUUAAUAACAGUUUUGGGCUGGGACAAUGGAUCAGUGAUAGCGCACAUGCCUGGCAUGUGUAAGGCACUGGGUUUGAUUCUCAGCACCACAUAUAAAUAAAUAAAAUAAAAGAUCUGGCAACGACCAAGAAACAAUUAGAAAAAAAUAACAGCUUCCUGUGUUGCUACAUAAAUAUGUUUAUUUCAGUGUUUUAUAUUCCAGAAGCAAACAGAGUGUGAAUUUAACAAAAAAUUAUUGGCAUAGUAAAAAUACACUUUUUAUACUUUUAGAAUGAAACCUACAAAUUUUCCUCCAAAUACCAAAUGAUACAUUUUAACAACCUUAUUCAGUAGAGAAGACAAUUAAUUAACUGAAGAGAAUUGUCAAGAAUCUGGCUUAUGGUUCAAUAUUACAAUGGCAUUAAUUUCUGAAAAUGUUCCAAGAAUUCUAAUAAAUCUCAAGCAACUAGUCAGUAGGCAUUUUGAAGCAUUUGGUUAGCUGAUUCUAAGCCUUAUAUGGAAAUAUACAUGAAGAUUAGCCAAGGCACGUUUAAUCAAGAAUAAUAAGGACUGUAUUCUCUUAGGAGAUAUCAAGACUUACAUUGUAGUUAUCAUAAACAGAGAGUAUGUGUUGAUAUAGAGAUAGACAAAUAGAUCUUAGAGUAGAAAGACACAAACCAAACAACACACAUGUAGACAUUAUGCAUGUGUGACUGUGUGAAUAACAGAGAUAGAGGUAACACAUGCAUACAUACAAACUGGCACUAUAUGUAAUUUAAAUUGUUGAUAUAUAACACUGGUAACAUUAAGAGAUUUAUGGGAAAAAACAAAUUUUGAAGGAAUUAUUUCAGAGCAAUUGGUUACUCAUGUGGAAAAAAAUGGAAUUGUAUUUAUCUCUUCCAAAAUAUUAUUUAAUGUGGCAGACUACCUUCACUACCUUAGCAAAGGGAAAUGUUUUUUUCAUUCAAG
rnacentral:lncRNA from 1 species